GAUGAACGCUGGCGGCGUGCCUAAUACAUGCAAGUCGAGCGAACAGACGAGGAGCUUGCUCCUCUGACGUUAGCGGCGGACGGGUGAGUAACACGUGGAUAACCUACCUAUAAGACUGGGAUAACUUCGGGAAACCGGAGCUAAUACCGGAUAAUAUAUUGAACCGCAUGGUUCAAUAGUGAAAGACGGUUUUGCUGUCACUUAUAGAUGGAUCCGCGCCGCAUUAGCUAGUUGGUAAGGUAACGGCUUACCAAGGCAACGAUGCGUAGCCGACCUGAGAGGGUGAUCGGCCAGACGGGAACUGAGACACGGUCCGGACUCCGACGGGAGGCAGCAGUAGGGAAUCUUCCGCAAUGGGCGAAAGCUUGACGGAGCAACGCCGCGGGAGUGAUGAAGGUCUUCGGAUCGUAAAACUCUGUUAUUAGGGAAGAACAAAUGUGUAAGUAACUAUGCACGUCUUGACGGUACCUAAUCAGAAAGCCACGGCUAACUACGUG
rnacentral:rRNA from 1 species